AAAACUUCAACUAUGACUGCAAAUUGUUUUCAAAUUUUAGGCUUUUCACAGCUGUUAUAUUCAACAAACUUGGACUACGGCCAUUGGGGCUUAUGUGGUGGGAGAGGUAUACGGAGACGAAAAGGUCAGGGCCCUGGGCGGCGAUUUUCAUGCCCACACUGCAGUUAUUCUACUGAUCAGAAAGGAGAUUUCAAUCGCCAUGAAUUGACUCAUACAGGUGUUAAACCUCAUGAAUGUCACAUUUGUAAUAAACGGUUUACUUUGAAGGGAAAUUUACAAGCACAUUUGAAUUUACAUGCCAGGCAACAAAAUUUGUAAUUUUAUAGCUGAUAAAUAAAUGUUUUAUAUUAUUUUAAAA